UAAAAGUUGAGAAGAUCUCAUGAUUUGUCAACAUCCUAUGGUUUUUUUUUUGUCUUUAAUAUAUUGACUUAGUGUUUAUAUCAACAACAACAUCGAACUACUGACUGUGUCAUCUAAAACUUGAGCUGUAUACAACAACAUUUUGAGGUCUCAACAUUUAGAUAUGAAUUUAUUUUAUCGGAGCAUAAUUGGAUUUUUUGGAGCCUCUCUGGUGCACGUCGUCUUCAACACUCCUCUUUCCAAGUGGAUUGUUUGCUUUUAGGAUUAAAUAAAACCUCAACUAAACUGUUCCCAGUUCCCACAUCUCUAAUGCUAACAUACAAACAUAGAUUUAUGUUUCGGUGAGACCCAUCAAAGAUCGUAUCUUGUAGAGAUCAGAGGAAGCUACUAGAGAGCGAUACCUCUUGGAGGUGACUGAUAAGGCUGCUCGGUCUGAUUUGGAGGUUAAAGCUAUACACUUGAGAGCUAUAUCAUCUGGUAGAGACGAUAAACGAAACGAUGACGACGGAGACUCUUCCAUCUUCCUCUUCUUCUGCGGUCGCGACUCUUCGGAAUUUGACAUUCACAGACUUCAAAUUUCAAAAGCCGACGACAUUGAAGGACCUCUCUAUCUGAAGCUCGUUGAUCAUCUACGAUUACAAUACCACCAAAAGGGGAGCUUUGGGAUGGAGUAUGGUGGUUGUAAGAUUGUGGGCAACGAUUCUGUCUGUCUAGACUGGCUUUAUCAGUGAUGGUUUUGCCAAAAGUGGAACACUUGGGUUAUGUAAUUGAAGAUUGCGCAGUUUUGUUUCCGGCUAAAUUUAAGGGUUUAAUUGAGGAUGAUGCGAGUUCAAUAGAGAUGUCAAGGAAACAUCUUAAAACCGGUGGUGUUUUCUUCGGACCGUUAUGUGGAUAUUUGCUGCUUUACAGGCGUGUCUCGAAGUAGAAGAGCUAUGGUGUGAGUUUAUGUGCUACUUUACAUGUCUGUUCUGAAGAUGAAGAGCUUGGAUUGUUCAUAGCGCAAGGUAUGCUUUGCUGGAGUAGUAGUGUCAUUAGAUGUACUGAUAUUGUUGGUAAAAUCUGUUUCCCUGGAUCAUUUGUUCUGAGAUUUGAAGUAUUUUAUCGUUGAGUAGACUCUAUGGCAUUCUUACUGCAAUUUCUAGGGGUGUUUUUGUUUCCUCUUUUGCUUAGUUGAGUAACUGUGAUUGUGAUCACAAAACUAUUCUGUAUGACGCGAUUUUUUCCCGAACUUUAUGAUUUAU